GUGAGGAAUAUUGCCCAAUGGACGCAAGUCUGAGGCAGCAACGCCGCGUGGGCGAUGAAGGCCUUCGGGUUGUAAAGCCCUUUUCUGGGGGAAGAGGAAGGACGGUACCUCAGGAAUAAGUCACGGCUAACUACGUGCCAGCAGCCGCGGUAAUACGUAGGUGGCAAGCGUUAUCCGGAUUCACUGGGCGUAAAGCGCGUGCAGGCGGUUUCGUAAGUCGGACGUGAAAGCUCCUGGCUUAACUGGGAGAGGUCGUUCGAUACUGCGGGGCUUGAGGUCGGGAGAGGGACGUGGAAUUCCCGGUGUAGUGGUGGAAUGCGUAGAUAUCGGGAGGAACACCAGUGGCGAAGGCGACGUCCUGGCCCGCACCUGACGCUGAGACGCGAAAGCGUGGGUAGCGAACGGGAUUAGAAACCCUAGUAGUCC
rnacentral:rRNA from 1 species